CACGUACUUCCCCCGCUGGGGGGCCUCCGGUCCAGCCUUCACACGCCUCCCCGGCUGGGGGGCCUCUGGUCCAGCCUGCACGCAUCUCCCUGGCUGGGGGGGCCUCCGGUCCAGCCUGCACGUGCUUCCCUGGCUGGGGGGGCCUCCGGUCCAGCCUGCACGCGCUUCCCUGGCUGAGCGGGAGCCUCUGGUCCAGCCUGCCCGCAGCCUGCAGUGGCUGUUGUGUCACCACUUGGCCUUGCAGCCCGGGCCUGGGCCUGCAGGGCAGUUUCUCAUCAUUUCCUGAGCAUGUUGUAUACUUUGACAUCCUCUCCUUACAUGCACUGCUCUGCUUGGACUGAGUCCUGCCCCUGCUGACCCCCCGGUGAAACCUCCUCUGUGCAGCCCACACAGGCGUCCUUUGGCCUGUGAAGCUGUCUGUGAGUCUCUGGGCAGAAUUAAGUAUCCCUUCCCCUACGUCGCCCACAUUUGCUUAUGCUACCAGGAUUAAACAGUUCAUCUAUUUCACAAGCGUUUUGGGCUGCUUUGUGGGGAUUUUGGUUAAAUGACCGAGCCCUUACUAAGUGGUAAGCCUCCUACGAGGGGACUUUCCACGUUGUGUUACAGGUCUCUGAAGGGCAGAGUGUGUAUCGUGUUAAUUUCUGAAUCUCAGCGACCUGACACCUAUUUGAUAUUCACAUACGGGUUUGAGAAGAACGCACAGUAGUUUGGGGAGGGAUUACUUUUCUGUGGGGGAGGGCCUGCCCACGACUGUCCGGGGAGGAGAGGCUUAGACGGGCAGCCCCUGCAUGGAGGGGCAGCUCAUGCCCCUGCCGUUGCUCAUAGCUGACGCCGUGGGGACUGGCAGCUGAACCACAGUGUCGGGGGCUGGUGCCACUUAAAGGAAUGAAAACCGGAAACCAGCAGCCAGUGUUCGCUUAGAUUGCGGAGCAGCACUAGGGUGUCCGCGGUCCCUGUCGUUAAGAUGCGGUAAGCUUGGCAGGUGGAGUGACUGACCCAGCUUAGGCCGGGGUCCAACUCUUUCUGCCGAUGUGACGUGUACCUGUGUGUUGGGAUCCUUAGGACCACCUCCAGGCGUGGCGGUUCACCGGCAGGACUCGCGGGACUCGGGUGUGGUGGUCUCUCAGCCCAGAUUUCCUGCGGUAAGAGGCUCCAAAGGGAAGAGGCAUGCAGGGCAAUUCCAGGAGUCCUCCUCUGGUGAAGCCACAUGGGUUGUGUUCAAUUCGUCCAGCAACGAGCUGUGACAACUUGUAUGCGACAGUGUCUGCCAGGAAACUCCUUGAUGUCUCGGUGCACAGGGUUUGUGUCAGAGGCUGGUCACAGGGGCACCCUCUGCCCCACGUGUACCAGGAUUCCCGUCUCCCGGCUCAGCAUACACCUCAAGUGUUUCCGCAGACAGUUCAGGCACAGUGAGCCAUCCUAGCAGUCAGGACGGCGGGGACCCUCCCGAAAUCUCAGCUCCCGGAUGCUCCUGGGUGCCAGGUGAGGCCAGCCUUGCAGGCACUUCCCGAGGAGCCCCGCGUCGGGCCUGCUGUGUGGGCUUCUGCUGCACAGCCUGUCUGCGUAUCACAAGAUGCUUGGGGAAGGCUUCUGGGUGCAGGCUAGAGAUCCAGAGUCAUUAGCUUAUCUCCAUGGCAGUAAGAGCCUAGAAAACGUUCUGUGUGCGUGGUGAGAAAAUAAACAUGUUUCAGGGUAAAGGUGUAGGGCCUAUACCCGUGUGAAGAAGACAGAUCUUACUGAAAGACACAAAACCCGAGCAGGUGGAAGCAUGUGUGGGAGACUCUAUACCGUGAAAGGUGUCGUUGAUAUGCAGAUACGGUGCAGCUCCAGCAGGAGUCCCAGUGAGGUAUCUUGUUGGAAUUGGAUAAAAUUACCUUAAGAUGUUUGUGGAUGAAAAAAUGCCCGAGGAUUGACUCCUAUUCGCAGGGCAGGGGAGCCUUGCCUAGACUGGGAAACCAGGGGCUCCUCAGGAAGGCAGAGGCAGACGUGGUCAAUGUGGGAGAACGUACGGCCAGAGAUGCCAUGACCUGGCCGCUGUUGGUUGGAAAAUGCUUGUGAUGUAGAUGACGGAGGGCUAAUGUAUACUGUACAGAAACCUUUUAAAAAUUUCCAGGAAAGAACAGCAAUCAAACAGAAACACAGGACAACUGUAUGGAUAGGAGGCCCAAAUCCUAAUGGCAAGAAACAUGGAGGUGCUCUAGCUCUUAAUGGUAAUGGGCCAGAAGCCAGGGCGCUUCACCCCACACGCUGGCGGCGAGGCUCUGGAAAGCGCGUGUCGUUUGUUGCUGGUGGGAGGUGGAGGAAAACAGUACUUACAGUUAUAAAGUGUUUUAGCUUCUUUGGGAAUCAAUGUGGCAGCACCCAUGAGCGUUGAAAGUAGGCCUCUCCUGUAGCUUAGGUAAGUCGGAACAGCCGCAUGCACGGCGCGAGGCGGAGCAGCAGAAGCAGUGAACUCCCAUGAAGGGGAGCCAGGGAGGUGUGGCGUGGACGUGGGGUAGAGUGUGCUCUGUGCCAAGACCGAGUUCAGGGUCACAGCCAUUACCUGAAGGGGUUUCCACGAGGAAGGGCACGUGGGAGCAGAAAGAUGCAGAAAUGCACAGGGUGUCAUUUGGAAGUAAGCAGCUGAAACCCCCACUUUACAGGUACACAUGUGUGCUGGUGCAUGUCUGGGUGGGGUUGAGAGCACAGAGGAAUGUGGAGGGACAGGUUCUAGAGAAGGACCGCCAGAAGUCACCUGGGACGGGAGGUGUGGGAGGGCCCUUUUCAUUCAGCUUUCUUCCUGCUGCUUUCCUAGAACUCAGACCUGAUGAUGGGAGCUUCAGCAGCCAUCUUCAGCCCUGAGGCGACCUUGAUGGUGGAAGCCACCCACAGACAGUGGCAGAACCUGGUUCCUGUCACCCACGGAGCCAUCCCACUGGCCCUCCUCUAGACUUUUUUUACCUGAGAGGGAGGUGAACUUUUUAAAGCCUCCAUUAUUUUUGGUCUGUGUUACAAGCAGCUAAACAUAGUUCCUGUUUGAUAUAGUAUAUACUUUAAAAAAAGAAUCUUGAAAAUUAAAAGAAUACACAUUCAGUCAACAAAGUGCUCAGUUACACGAGGAGUAGUGACACUCACGGUGGACCAAGCACACGGCUUUGUCCUGGAUGAAGUGUGGUUGUGCAUGUUUAUUCGGACUUGCCUGAAUUCCACAUAACUCUUGACCCCCUGCCUCCCACUCUGAAAGGCCCAGGCUUCCUUUUAAGAGCACGGACUCCAGGUCAUCGGAACUCAAGGCAGUAAAUACUAAGCAGCUUGUCUCUCCGCCGUGAAGUUACCCUCUGCAUUCAGGAACACAAAGGAUGGGUCCGACCCGGGCCCUGCUGCGCGACACCAGGAGCCAGGAGGCUCUAAAUCAGAGGUUAUUUUUUAGGUGAGGUAUAGCUUACACACCGGGAAGCAUACAGGUCCGCGUCACAGCUCAGCGAGAGCCGGAGAAUUCACGCGGCCACGCGGCCGCCCUGUGCUAAGGAACAGGUGGGCCUGGGCUGCAUUUGGCCUGUGAGUCACAGUUUGCCAGCGCCUGAUCUGGACCCGGAGGGCACAUUGGAGUGUGGAUUCCCAGGGUCCACCCGAGUUUCUGAGUCCGGCAGUCUGGCAAGUUUGCGUUUCCAGGUUCCAGGUGAGGCUCCAGACCAUGCUUUGCGAUCCUGCCCUAGAAGAUGAGGAGGAAAAGGCAGUGGGCACAGGAACCAGCGGGCAGGCUGUGGGCCGUGGGGACCACCCAGGGCGCCCCUCCCCCUCUGUCCCUCUGUCUAGGGUGGGGCCGGGCCUCCUAUUUACAUGCAGGGAGUGGCUCUAGCAAGGGUGAACAUGGGGAGAGAGAGAGAGAAGAGGGUCCUCGGGAUCCCCGGGGGUCCAAGAAACAACUUCCUCUGAACAGCUUGAGAAAUAAAACAUGAAGGCUUGGGGAGGGGGACGUGAAGGGGGGGCAGUGACCUUGGUCUGCCCAGGUCCUCCUGACUCACCUCUUGGUCUUAGUGCCACUGGUGAGGCCUGCCCAGUGGAGGAGCCCUGGGGGUCCUGGAACAGCUCCCAGUCCUGGGAGAGGGUCAGGGUUGGGACAGGUCCUAGUCCUGAGGGAGAGGGUUGGGGACAGCUCCCUGCUCCCAGGAGGGGAGAGAGAAUUGGGGGCCACAGAGUCAAGGAGCCCAGUCCAUGUGGGAGAAGCCAGUGCCUCCAGCCGGGGGCAGAGUGGACACUGAAGCAGCCCUCCAGUGGGGCAUUUGUCCCCUCCACUCCUCAGCUGGGGAUCAGGUUGCUCAUUCAUGGGCACCCCCCGCCCCUGCACUCGAGCCCUGGUGCUGGCCCGCAGACCCCUGGCUUCUUCCCUUUCCUGGCCUCAUGGCUGCAGGCCAGGCUCAGGCCAGGCCUCGAACUCCACUUCCACUCCUAGGCACCUGGUUGUUGCCAUGAAUGUCACCCCUGUGCUCUUGACUCCAGAAAACAGAGCUAUUUCCUCUGGGCCGUCCAGGUGGCAUCUCAGCACCCACCACCUCACCUGGCCCCACACUGUCUCCGCUUGGUAGAGAGCAUCUCAUCAGAGGUGCUGCUCUGGCCCACACUUGAGCCACCCUGACUCUUCCCUUUGCUUCGUGCCUCAAGCUUCAAAGCGCGUCCCCAGCAUGAGCACCUCUCACUUCCUCCGCAGCCACUGUCACCCUCCUGCCGGACCCGCAGCAGCUCUCCUGACCCCUCUUGUCUGCCUCUCUCACAGCAGAGUUUGAGGCAAACCAGCGCAGCCCUCUGGGCGCUGGCAGUCACAUUUAGGCUUAAAUCCAGUGUCCUGUCCUGGCCCAUAGCCCCUUAGCCAGCAUCUCUUCUGUCCAGUGGCUCGUCUUGCCCUCCUGGGCAUUGUCCAGACUCCCCAAGCUCAUUCCUUCCGGGGCCCUGGCACCUGCCCAGGGUGCUUGCUCCCUGCUUAGGCUCUGCUCGAACACCAGCCCUUCAGAGAGACUGUCCUUUGCCACCCUGCUGGAAAUAGCCCAUCUGUCUCCACUCGCUGUUGUUCCUCACAGAACUUGUCACUCACCACCUGACACCGGAGGAGGGUUGUCUGUGGCUGCCCCUCCCCAGCAGAAGGUAAGGAGAUAGGGGCCGGGUCCCCAGGGCCUAGAGAAGCGCCCGGCACAGAGCAGGCACGUGUGCAGGUGUGGCAUAAAUGGUGCAGUAAGAGGACUUUUAGAUGUAGGAAGCCGUAAGCGAAAAUACAACUGAAGCAGGACAGAGAAGGCUGGCAGAACGGCUGAGCUGCCUCAAGACAGCUGGCGUCUGCAAGAGGCGCUGAGUCUACACCCUGGGGGAGAAGCCACUGCUGGGCACUGAGU